rnacentral:lncRNA from 1 species
AAGCAAUGACCAAGCAGUGGAGGACAUAAUUUUGCUUUAUUGCAUAGGUUGCCCUUCAUGCUUUAACCUUGCCUAUGCCCUCAGGUGAGCUAGAGGAAUAUUGUCCUGUUGCUGGUGAUGUAGUGAAAUUUUAGCAGCCAGUUUGGUCAGCUCUUGUAUGUGAAGGGGUGCUGCUGGUGGAAUCCCGUCUUUUGGAUGAAGAACCCAAAAUGACAUGAUCAAGCCUUGCCUUUUCAGAUAUUCAUUCCUCAUAUACAGUAGAAGGAAUGUGUAUAGGAUGUGGGAAGAGUUUCAUCCUUUGUGUAUUUCUGUGAACAGGGCCCCUGUAUCUGUGUACAGUUGAAUGCAUGUACGAUUAGGUCCAGGCAAUCAGCGAUCCCAGAAAAGCUUUGUGACUCUCCUCUGUACCUCAAAGCAGUAGCCAUGUUGCAGCAGGAGCACCAAAGACUCACAAGUAUGAAAAAUUGCAUUGGUUAGGCAACGAGUGCUGGAUGAGGAUACAGGCUUCCCUUUCAAGUGAACUCCGCUCUGUACCAAAAAACUAUAUUAUUGUUUUGUCCCACCGUGCAUUCUUGAAGGAUAUUGCAAACACACUAGACUGGGACUGAAAGCACUAAACAGGUUCUUUUCUGUGCAGAAACACCCCAUCCAUGUAGAUGUGAAAAACAUUGGACACUCUAACAGAUAUUCAUCAAAAGAGGAAAUGUAUGCAAGAGAAGAGUUUAGACAUUUUCUUUUUCUGGCUUACAACUCCCAGAACCCUCCAGCCAACAUGAGAGACCAUCUGUAAACAUGACCAUAUCAAUG